CCUCCGUGAUCUGUAUCCCGUUUCUCUCUUCCUUUCUUUCUCUCGCGUUAUGUAUCGGUAUAUUGUUCCGUCGUAUUCUUCUACGUCGUCACUUGUUACGACGCUACUUGUUAGGUUACGUCAUUACUUAUUAGAUCGCGACAAGGUGCCGAACGUGUAAUCCAUGUAAAUAAUACUCCGUGCAAGUUUUGUUCUAAUGUGCAAUGUACGGGAGUGUUGUGUGAUUUUUAUAUUUGAUUCGCGAACGCGUGUGUGAGUGCUUGAAGGACCGUAAGGAGAACUGAGAGAAGAAGGAGGCUUAGAAGAGGAGAAGAGGAGAAGAGGAUUAGGCGCCGGAGGAGCAACUUUAGGGGUGGAUACAAGAAUACGAAUAAUCAUAUGAAUUUGGGGAUAGACGUUGAGACAGCUGAAUCACCAAACUUCACCUGUCCUCUUAAGUCUUGUCGGACGACACUUUCGAUUAGAAGUGAUUGGUGUCGGAAUGGCUUCUUAGAGAUAUUGCACAGGUGCUACAGGAAUUUAAUUUACCGAGAAAUUAAAUCGUGUUCUCUGUAUUAAUUAAGAGAAACAGAAGGAUCAUCAGCGCCUUUGGACACGAAAGAGAGUAGAGAGAGAGCGAGAUAGAGAGAGGAAGAGGGACGAGUUAAAUUACUCGUUACUAGAGGCGCGGAAGAUGACCCGGGGCGGAACAGUAAUCCUAUGCUGUAAGUAAAUUUCUUCUUCGCCUGUUUUUUCUUUCGACAGUGCUCUCGCUUCCCUCUGGGCAUUACACGUUGUUCUACCGAGUCGAAGUUUGUUCCGGCAACUUAAGAAGACAUCCAGAAACGCUCUCAGGACCGCGGAGGAUGAGAUAGGGUCCGGUUGCCCUGGAUACGGUCUCGUGUCUUCUUCAGAGUUUACUUAUCCGUUUACUAUCCUGAAUAUGAAAGCGUUAUCAUGCCGGUAUUAUGAACGCUCGUAUUCACGCAAAUUUAAGUAACAAUUUUACCUCAACUCACGAUUUUUUUAACUGACUUUAAUCAAAACUUUUCAUACAAUUAACGCUAUUUUUCUUUUGCAUACGAAUAAUACAUAUAAAAUAUCAAUACAAUAUGCAAAAAGUGA